rnacentral:lncRNA from 1 species
UGGAUCCUGGGUGUGUGGCAUGGUGAUGACACUGUCACUCCUGGAUCCUGGGUGUGUGGCAUGGUGAUGACACUGUCACUCCUGGAUCCUGGGUGUGUGGCAUGGUGAUGACACUGUCACUCCUGGACUCUGGGUGUCCGGCAUGGUGAUGAACUGUCACUCUGAUCUGGGUGUCCGGCAUGGUGAUGACACUGUCACUCCUGGAAUCUGGGUGUCCGGCAUGGUGAUGACACUGUCACUCCUGGAUCCUGGGUGUGUGGCAUGGUGAUGACACUGUCACUCCUGGAUCCUGGGUGUGUGGCAUGGUGAUGACACUGUCACUCCUGGACUCUGGGUGUGUGGCAUGGUGAUGACACUGUCACUCCUGGAUCCUGGACUCUGGGUGUGUGGCAUGGUGAUGACACUGUCACUCCUGGAUCCUGGGUGUGUGGCAUGGUGGUGACACUGUCACUCCUGGACCCUGGACUCUGGGUGUCCGGCAUGGUGAUGACACUGUCACUCCUGGAUCCUGAGUGUGUGGCAUGGUGAUGACACUGUCACUCCUGGAUCCUCUGGGUGUCCGGCAUGGUGAUGACACUGUCACUCCGGCCUCCUGGACUCUGGGUGUCCGGCAUGGUGAUGACACUGUCACUCCUGGAUCCUGGGUGUCCGGCAUGGUGAUGACACUGUCACUCCUGGACUCUGGGUGUCUGGCAUGGUGAUGACACUGUCACUCCUGGACUCUGGGUGUGUGGCAUGGUGAUGACACUGUCACUCAUGGAUCCUGGGUGUCCGGCAUGGUGAUGACACUGUCAAUCCUGGAUCCUGGGUGUCCGGCAUGGUGAUGACACUGUCACUCCUGGAUCCUGGGUGUGUGGCAUGGUGAUGACACUGUGACUCCUCGACUCUAGGUGUCCGGCAUGGUGAUGACACUGUCACUCCUGGAUCCUGGGUGUGUGGCAUGGUGAUGAGACUGUCACUCCUGGACUCUCGGUGUCCGGCAUGGUGAUGACACUGUCACUCCUGGAUCCUGGACUCUGGGUGUCCGGCAUGGUGAUGACACUGUCACUCCUGGAGCCUGGGUGUCCGGCAUGGUGAUGACACUGUCACUCCUGGAUCCUGGGUGUCCGGCAUGGUGAUGACACUGUCACUCCUGGAUCCUGGGUGUUUGGCAUGGUGAUGACUGCACUCCUGGACCUGGGUGUCCGGCAUGGUGAUGACACUGUCACUCCUGG